rnacentral:rRNA from 1 species
AUUGAACGCUGGCGGCAGGCCUAACACAUGCAAGUCGAACGAGUGGCGGACGGGUGAGCAAUGUCUGGGAAACUGCCUGAUGGAGGGGGAUAACUACUGGAAACGGUAGCUAAUACCGCAUACCAUCGGAUGUGCCCAGGUGGGAUUAGCUAGUAGGUGGGGUAAAGGCUAACCUAGGCGACGAGCCCUAGCGGGGCUGAGAGGAUGACCACCCACACUGUAACUGGAACACGGUCCAGACCCCUACGGGGGGAAGCAUUGGGGAAUAUUGCACAAUGGGCGCAAGCCUGAUGCAGCCAUGCCGGGUGUAUGAAGAAGGCCUUCGGGUUGUAAAGUACUUUCAGCGGGGAGGCGUUACCCGCAGAAGAAGCACCGGCUAACUCCGUGCCAGCAGCCGCGGUAAUC